CUAGAUAGAAAUACAUCGUAUAACCACCGUUCCAGUUCUUCAUAAAUUACGGAGGAUUUUACAACAGCUUCAUAUAGUGCUGCCAAAAUUUUAGUCAAUCAGAUCCCAUAUUUCAAUGAAUCAGACGAAGAGGAUAUUGAGUUAUGGCUUGAAAAAUUGGAAAGUCUGGCUCAAAUUAAUGGAUCAUCCCAUAAUGUUAUUUUGGCAGCAGCCAUAAUAAAAUUGGCAAAAACAGCACGUAAGUAGUUUGAUCGAGUUUCUGGAUUUGCUAAUACUUCUUGGCUAGAUUUCAGAAAAGCACUGCUCAGUCGUUUUAAAAGGGACAUCUUAUACACUAUGAAGAUAUAGAAAAUUGAACUUCGCAAAUGGCUUUUCUAUAAAGAAUCCUUUUCAGAGUACACUACUGAUAAAAUAACCUUAAUGAAAUCUUUAAGAUUGUUAGAUCAAGACGCAAUUCACCUACUUAUCAAUGAAAUCUCCAGUUUAUCUAUCAGAGCAGCAGCAGCGUCACUGCCUAAAAAUUCACUGGAUGAAUUUCUGAGGAAGAUGCAAUAUAUCACUUUUUCAUGCAAUCUCAAGAAAUCUUCACCUACGUUCAUAUGCAGAAACAAUCCUGCAUAAGGAUACUUCAUUAGGAAGAUCAGAUUCCCAGAAUAAAUCUACUGAAGAUACCUUCUGCUCUUAUUGUCGUGGCAGAAAUCAUACAAAAGAAAAGUGUUUUAAACUCAAGAAAAAAGAAAGGAUGUCAAGAAGUCCACAGCCUUGCGCAAUCUUCUAUUCUUCCAGUGGCAGCGAUCAGUGACUCAAUAGCUACAUCUUCAGUCACGAUAGCUUGCGUAGACUCUACUAACGAUUAAAGACAUGUCUUUACGUUACGAUUUUUUCUGUGCGUUGACUGAAGUUUAAGUUUACGUACGGAAUUAAAUUUACUAUUGAUACUUAACGUAACGUAAUGCGAUACGGAACACCUUGUACGGAACACCUAACGUAUAGAAAUACUACACCACGGUGACCAUAGUGCUACGAUAUUAACUAAAAAUCAAUUCAUACGACAGCUAAAUCCUUUUAUAAGAAAAAUGGACCGAAGAUAUCAGUUGAUAUUGAAGAUGAUGAAACCAACAAAAUUUAUACAAUAUUAGUAACAGUAGAAGAAGCCAAACGUUUAGAAACUGGUAAGAUUAUUAUUAAUAUUU
rnacentral:lncRNA from 1 species